GAAACCACCGGCAGAAGGAGCGCCCACCAAGUGUUCGGUUCUUUUCCCAAGUGGGAUAUUCAAACACAAGGGCACUAUUUGGUGAAGUUGAUGGUAAGAAACCAACUCCACUUUAUUAUCACUUGCUAAUGCCCAACAUCUCUGUUCUUGUGACCUAUAACUAUUUUCUACAGUUUAUUAUCUUUUAGUGAUCGAUUUGGUAAUCAGUUGGUGUAAUAUCUUGCCCUUUUUUAGUUUGUGCUGGCCUGAAAGCAUCUACUACGCUGUGAUAUGUGACUAAGUUCUUUGUGUUAUCACCGACUUCAUAUGUACUUGAGAAUAUAGAUGUUACCGAGCCACUUAAAUUAUAUUUUUAGAUGGAGUAAUAUUAGCACACCAAGGUUUGUAUAUAUAUAUUAUUGUUGUUUCUUUAAUAAACGAACGUUGCAGGUGGCUGAAGCUACAGUAAGAUCCAAACCAUACCGUCCAUGGCUAAAAUCUUAACAUUCUUGGUUUCCAUCCAAACCUGGGCUUUACAAGAUCAUGUCUUAAGGUUAAGCAUUUUCAGUUUGAGAAACCUACUCAAUGUUCUACCAUUUCCAGAUAAAUUCAACAAACAUCUGUUGUGUCGACUCUUAUGAUAGGUUUCAAUUUUAGGUAAAUGAUGAAUCAUUGGGGACAUAAUUUUUAUAGCAGAGGGGGAAAAUGUAUCCACAUCAAAAAGUUCCUUUUUCAUACCAAGGAACUGAGAAGUACUUCCGUCGGGAGUAAUUUCCACACUAAUGUUUCGCCUUAAAAGACAAUCUCAAGUAUUUUAAACAGUGUUGAUACCUUAGUUUCAUUUCAUUUUGAUUACCCGAACGUGAAAAGUAGUAUAUGUUAUGAGAUUAUUUUGGAGUGUGUUAUUUUAUCCGCAGAAAUUAGUGUUGUAUGCGUGAUUCGGGCUACAAUUUUAUUUUAUUUUUGCUUUUUUGGACGUAGUGAUUAAAUGGUGUGGGCUACGGCUGUAAUCUACCGAUUUGGUGUACGAAUCACUUAUUGAGAUGCUCCAUCAAAUAUUUCUGGAUGCCUCACUUUGGCUCUAUGUUUACUUGAUCAACUUAUCAAGCUUUGAGACUUCGGAACUUGCCUAUUUGAGGAGCUUGAUUUUCUAUAUCUUGGCCAAAGUGAGGCCCACGAAAAGUUGAUCAAUACGUACCUACACUUGUGAAAUUAUUCUCUGAAGUGAACAUCUUCACUGUUUAUCCUCUAUAAAACUUCAUACUUAGAUCUGGAUUACUCUAUGGCUGCGGUUAUAGUCUUCUUAAUUGUACCAUUACACUAGCAUUUUCUCAUCUGAUUCUAGGCAUUUGUUGCCCUCUCACAAUCCCAUGAAAACUUUGCAGUUGUUACUUGAGUUUAAGUUGUACAUAGUGAAGAUGAGAAAUGGUGGGUUCCUUUAAAUAUAUGGUUUGGGAGAUAUGCAGGAAGCUGGAAAAUAAAUUACCAAGCUCAAAACCGGGGGAAAUCACUGAAGUACCAAAUAGGAAAACAGAUGAUGGAACUGCUUCUCAAGUCAAAGAUAUCCUAAGGCCACGACACAUAGUUUGUUGAAACAGCAAUAGAUUGACUGGAUACUCUCUCGCUUGAGCGAAGAUACCCUUGUGUAAGUGUUAAGUAUGGGGGCCUGCCUGAGGAGAUGGCACUCCGGAGCUCCGCCAGAUCAGGCUGAAGAACUUGGCGCACACGGUCAUGGGGUUACCCUCCAGAAGACACUGCAGGAGAGGAGAGGCCCGUGGGACACGAACUGUCUAUCUGACGAACAGAUUUACCAUGUCUACUUGCAGGUCAACUAAGCUGUUAAUCGGCCACUACUACUACUAGCUAUGCAAUUAAUUGUUAGCCUCAUGAUCCUGACAAUAGUUCUUUCGCCAUGAUUCUUUGCGUGAUUAUUAUUUCACCAAUAUGUUUCUGCAAGAUGUGUCCUAAUCAUCUUGAUUUUUCCAGCAUAUUAAUUAACCGUUUGCUUUUCUCUAUUUUAUUGGGAGGUCUCUAUUUUGUUGUUCAAAUUAAGUAUGGUCUGGGAGAGGUGGCUGCUUUUGAUGAUAUUCUAGAUCAGCCUUGGCAGCUAACA